UGCUUCCAGGCACACAAAGGCCACCGAUUGGAUCAGCGCGAAGAAACCCGUUCGGACCGCUGCCGCAUGCCUCGCCUCAGCAACGGAUCAACCUCUGCACCUACAUCCACUUCGACAGGUCGUCAGUCAAAGCAGGUCCAUUUUACCCUCCUUCAUGCGGAUGAAUCUGAUCAAGUUUAUUUCAAAUUCCAAUCUAGAGUAGUUACACUUUUUCGCCUCUGCCUGCCUGCUUCUAGCAGGGUUGCAUUUCUCCAGUUUUCACAGCUUCAAAUCACUACCUACGAAUUGCGUAUGCGAUUCAUCAUCGUUCAAUUACCCCGUACCCUAUGUGAAUUAUAUUCUGAAGUACAGGUUGACAACAACCUACUAGUUGUACAUACUUUUCUAGCUGGUACACAGUAAAAAGAAAGGGCUUGAGUAAAUGCACAUUGUUCAUUUCAUAUCUCUCAGAAGUUCCUGCAUUUAUUUUCCAGUAGCCAUAAUCAAUGUCAGUCAAACACUUUGAAGGUUUUACACUUUUAUUUGGUAUCCUACUGCGCUGCAUGAUAACAUCCACAUUUACACGUAGUUUAGGCCCAGUAAAGCAUUUCCCCCCUGGUUUCUUCAGCUUGCAAGAAAGGUUAUGGAUUCUGGGUUGACAUUCUAUUUAUUAAAAAGGUGCCUACAUGAAAAAAAUCGUUGAAAAGCCAAGUGAGACACAAUAACUGUCCACCCAAAUCAUUGUGCUGGCUCAACGCCCUCUGCGACACAGAGGCUGGCGGGCUCUCUCUCUGCACCCGCCAAUCCGGCGAGGGUGCUGUCCUGUGAAUUUGCCCGAAUUCUGAAACUAUUGCAUGUGCACUAUAUGUAUGAUGGAAGGUUUCACUUAAGAAGUGUCCAAACUGAGGUACUAGAUAACUGGCAUACUUUAUGGAAGAGACAUUCGCCCUAACCUGCAACUCCACCAGUCAUAUAGAAGCACAUAUAACUGAUUUGUUGCUAUCUGAGACCAUUAUUUUAAUUGUGAAUCUUAUUUUUCUUUACCUCUAGGCCAUGAACCAUCUUACCCUCAAAUCAGAAUUCAUGUUUUUUUGCUCCUAUUUUGUUCCUUACCAGUGACAGUGCAGCUUCCUAAAGGCAUAAAGCUCCCGGGAAGGUAUAUCCAUACAGUGAACUGGAUUAUGCAUUAAUCGGUUGAUUCAGAGCUCUUGUAUCUUGAGUGGCAUUCACCUUUGGGCAAUUCAAGCGACCACAUGUCAUGGUCUUCUUAUCGACGUCUGACUGUUGAAAAGAGUUCUUAUAUGCUUGUGAAGUACACGGUGGGGGCGCGCAUGGUUGAUGAUUAUGUUCUGGGUUGGCCAUUGAGAGGGAGGCCGAAGCAAAUUCCAUCAGGUUUCAGAUAGCUACUUCAGGUUAGGCGGGAGAAAUAAAAAGGGUGACCAUAGAUAUAUGGUCUAGCAUCACAAGGUUCAGUUAGAGAUUAAAGAAGACUGAAAUUAUGGGCUCGCAGCGAGGAUUGCUGUGUCCAACCUGCACAAGAAUGCCAAGAAGUCCUUCUCCGAGACGAUUAAGGACAUGUACCUGCACUACAAUGAGUGAUCUGGGCUGCUUCUUUGUGGCUUCCAAACUUGAAAUGUUUUUUGGAAGUUAGUUUAGUUUUUUGUUGUGGAUUCACAGCUUCUCACAUGUACCAUUCUCUUAGACCUUUAGAUUUCCAAAGAAACUAUAUGAAGAUAUGGUGGUAUGAUCUCAAUAGUACAACUUAAAGCUUUCCAUGCUUUACAUUUUCUCUGAAAUAUGCUCUUGAAGAAUCA